ACGGGAGGCAGCAGCUAAGAAUAUUCCUCAAUGGACGAAAGUCUGACGGAGCGACGCCGCGUGGAUGAUGAAGGCCGGAAGGUUGUAAAAUCCUUUUAUAACUGAGGAAUAAGUAUGGUCAGAGAAACGCCAUAUGGUGACUGUAGGUUAUGAAUAAGCAACGGCUAAUUACGUGCCAGCAGCCCCGGUAACACGUAAGUUGCAAGCGUUGUUUGGAAUUAUUGGGCGUAAAGGGCAUGUAGGCGGUGUUGCAAGGUUGGUGUGAAAUUCCGGAGCUCAACUCCGGAACUGCGUUGAGAACUGCAUAACUAGAGUCACUGAGGGGCAAUCAGAAUUCGAGGUGUAGGGGUGAAAUCUGUAGAUAUCUGGAAGAAUACCGAUGGCGAAGGCAGGUUACCAGCAGAUGACUGACGCUGAGGUGCGAAGGUGCGGGGAGCAAACAGGAUUAGAUACCCUGGUA
rnacentral:rRNA from 1 species